UGGGUAUCUAUGUUCGGACCAGAUAACCGCUGAAAGCAUCUAAGUGGGAAACUGACCUCAAGAUUAGAUAUCCUUCUCAUAUGGGUAACUAUAUGGGGUAAGACCCCUUGUAGACUACGAGGUUGAUAGGCUGGGUGUGGAAGUGCGGUAACGCAUGUAGCUAACCAGUACUAAUCGGUCGAUCGCUUGACCAU
rnacentral:ncRNA from 1 species